UUGGAGGGCAAGUCUGGUGCCAGCAGCCGCGGUAAUUCCAGCUCCAAUAGCGUAUAUUAAAGUUGUUGCAGUUAAAAAGCUCGUAGUUGAAUUUCGGGAUCAAAUUGUCGGUCGUGCCUCGGUACGCACUGGUAUUAUUGGUUCCUACCUUCUGAAGAACCGCGAUGUCAUUAAUUUGGUGUCGUGGGGAAUCAGGACUGUUACUUUGAAAAAAUUAGAGUGUUUAAAGCAGGCUUACGCUUGAAUACAUUAGCAUGGAAUAAUGAAAUAGGACGUUUGAUUCUAUUUUGUUGGUUUCUAGGAUUGACGUAUGAUUAAUAGGGAUAGUUGGGGGCAUUAGUAUUCAAUUGUCAGAGGUGAAAUUCUUGGAUUUAUUGAAGACUAACUACUGCGAAAGCAUUUGCCAAGGAUGUUCUCAUUAAUCAAGAACGAAAGUUAGGGGAUCGAAGACGAUCAGAUACCGUCGUAGUCUUAACCAUAAACUAUGCCGACUAGGGAUCGGAUGAUGUUAAUUUUUUAAUGACUCAUUCGGCGCCUUACGGGAAACCAAAGUGUUUGGGUUC
rnacentral:rRNA from 1 species